rnacentral:rRNA from 1 species
UACGAAGGGGGCUAGCGUUGCUCGGAAUCACUGGGCGUAAAGCGCACGUAGGCGGACUCUUAAGUCAGGGGUGAAAUCCUGGAGCUCAACUCCAGAACUGCCUUUGAUACUGGGAGUCUUGAGUUCGGGAGAGGUGGGUGGAACUGCGAGUGUAGAGGUGAAAUUCGUAGAUAUUCGCAAGAACACCAGUGGCGAAGGCGGCUCACUGGCCCGAUACUGACGCUGAGGCGCGAAAGCGUGGGGAGCAAACAGG